AUUGAACGCUAGCGGGAUGCUUUACACAUGCAAGUCGAACGGCAGCGCGGACUUCGGUCUGGCGGCGAGUGGCGAACGGGUGAGUAAUGUAUCGGAACGUGCCCAGUAGCGGGGGAUGACUACGCGAAAGCGUAGCUAAUACCGCAUACGCCCUACGGGGGAAAGCAGGGGAUCGUAAGACCUUGCACUAUUGGAGCGGCCGAUAUCGGAUUAGCUAGUUGGUGAGGUAACGGCUCACCAAGGCGACGAUCCGUAGCUGGUUUGAGAGGACGACCAGCCACACUGGGACUGAGACACGGCCCAGACUCCUACGGGAGGCAGCAGUGGGGAAUUUUGGACAAUGGGGGCAACCCUGAUCCAGCCAUCCCGCGUGUGCGAUGAAGGCCUUCGGGUUGUAAAGCACUUUUGGCAGGAAAGAAACGUCGCGGGCUAAUACCCCGUGGAACUGACGGUACCUGCAGAAUAAGCACCGGCUAACUACGUG
rnacentral:rRNA from 1 species